rnacentral:rRNA from 1 species
UACGGGGAAUUAGAGUUUGAUUCCGGAGAGGGAGCCUGAGAGACGGCUACCAGGUCCAAGGACAGCAGCAGGCGCGAAAAUUACCGAAGCCUGCAUUCAGGGCGGUAGUAAGGAAACGUGAAAACGAUGUGCAGGUAAAGAAUGCACUAGUAACAGGAGGUCAAGACUGGUGCCAGCAUCCGCGGUAAUACCAGCUCCUGGAGUGUCUAUGAUGAUUGCUGCAGUUAAAGAGUUCGUAGUCGGACUGCGUGACUGGCGUGAAAGACCCUUUUAUUCAUUCAUUCAAGGGGGGCGCAGCGCCGGAAAAGCAGGGAAUAAGGAGCGGCCGGGGCACAGGUUAUUAAGCGACGAGAGGUGAAAUUUGAUGACUCGCUUAGGAGCAACAGAGGCGAAAGCGCUGUGCAGGGGCGAUUCCGAUGAUAAAGGACGUAGGCUAGAGGAUCGAAGAUGAUUAGAGACCGUUGUAGUUCUAGCAGUAAACGAUGCCGAUGCCGUGGGGCAGUUCUUAGACUGCGCCGCGGAAGAGAAAUUGAGUAGGGCCCUGGGGAGAGUACGCGCCAAGCGAGAAAAUUUAAAGGAAAUGGACGGAAGAACACCACAAGGAGUGGAGUGUGCGGCUUAAUUUGACUCAACGCGGGACAGCUUACCAGGCCCGACGACCGCACGAGUGUGGUACACGAUAGGUCGGAGAGUGGUGCAUGGCCGUUAACGACAAGUGGGGUGACCUUUGGGUUAAGUCCGGGAAGUUGUGAGACCCCUGCUGGCAUGCCAGGACAGGUGCUCAAAGCACAGGAAGGAAGGGUCAAGAACAGGUCAGUGAUGCCCUUAGAUGGUCUGGGCUGCACGCGCACUACAGUGGUCACACGAGUUUAUAGAUAGAAGAAAUGGUGAUCGAGAGGAAAUGAGCUUUGCAAGAGGCUCAGGAACGAGGAAUUGCUAGUAAUCGCGGGCUCAUUAAGACGCGACGAAUAC